ACGGGAGGCAGCAGUGGGGAAUAUUUGACAAUGGAGGCCACUCUGAUCCAGCGACGCCGCGUGAGUGAAGAAGUAUUUCGGUAUGUAAAGCUCUAUCAGCAGGGAAGAUGAUGACGGUACCUGACUAAGAAGCCCCGGCUAACUACGUGCCAGCAGCCGCGGUAAUACGUAGGGGGCAAGCGUUAUCCGGAUUUACUGGGUGUAAAGGGAGCGUAGGCGGCCAGACAAGUCAGGUGUGAAAACCCGGGGCUUAACCCGGGGACUGCACUUGAAACUGCCUGGCGAGAGUGCAGGAGAGGCGAGUGGAAUUCCUAGUGUAGCGGUGAAAUGCGUAGAUAUUAGGAAGAGCACAGGUGGCGAAGGCGAGUUGCUGGACUGAGACUGACGGUGAGGCUCGAAAGCGUGGGGAGCAAACAGGAUUAGAUACCCUGGUA
rnacentral:rRNA from 1 species